UGCGUAGGCGGUUUCGUAAGUCUGGUGUGAAAUCUCCCGGCUCAACUGGGAGGGUGCGCUAGAAACUGCGGGGCUGGAGUGUGGGAGAGGCAAGCGGAAUUCCUGGUGUAGCGGUGAAAUGCGUAGAUAUCAGGAGGAACACCUGCGGUGUAGACGGCUUGCUGGACCACUACUGACGCUGAGGCACGAAAGCGUGGGGAGCAAACA
rnacentral:rRNA from 1 species